CACAGGGACACCCGUAGCUCCAUCAAUGCUCACAGCCCUAUCCCCUGACCUUGGGUGUCUGCAGGGAUGGGGCACCACCACUUACUGCCUUAUAUUCAAUCGAAAUCUCCCCUCUUUUGGUUCGAAACCAGUGCUUUCACAAAGAGUAUGGGGUCAGCUGAGCUGGGUUCUGUUUCUAAAGGCUGGUGCUCAAGGGCUCGGAGGUGAUCCCAUGUGUCAGGUAAUGGGGACAGCCCUGGUUGAUGCCCAAGGGAGGCAUCAGCUCCUCUGGUAACUCAUUAACUCUCCAAAUUGCUGUUGCCUUUCACGGCAGAGGAAGUGGACAAACAGUGGAUCAGAGUCUGGCUUUGGGUGUUGCUCGGGCCAGGGGUCACUCCAUCAGUGCAGUGCUGGGAUCCUCAGGGGAACAGAAGCGAUGAGGUCAAAAAUGUUGCCUUGCCCCUUCAGUUGGGAUUUAAGAGAAUAAACAGGUGAAUUUGGGUCUGUGAACCCGUGCCCAGGACAGCCCCAGGCUGACAGGCAGCAGGCGGAAGCUGCGUUAAUUUGGGAUGGAGGCACUGGGAGCAGUGUGUCAUCCGAUCUCCUUCUCCUGGGAUUUUUAAGGCACUUUUCCAGAGAAUGCUUUAUAACCCCACGGCCAAAGGAUUCGUGAUCGCCGGGAAUGUGAAGCUGAGCAAUCUGAUGUUACUGUGGGGAGAUCGAUGCGCCGGGCUGCUCCCUGCCACUCCUUGCCUAAGUUCUGCUUGGUUGAGCCUGAGGAAUACGUUGCUGGUCCUGGGUGUGAGCCAAAGAGUUGGAGAAAAUCGGCAAUGAGCGUGCUGGAAGGCGGUGUGCAAUUAGCCAAUUAAACAGGCGGUGUUUGCUCGGUG